rnacentral:tRNA from 1 species
GACACUUUGGCCGAGUGGUUUAAGGCGCAGGCCUGCUACUAUCUAUGUACUAGCUGAUUAGCCUGUGGGUUCGCCCGCCUGGGUUCGAGUCCCAGAGGUGUCG